GAUGAACGCUGGCGGCGUGCCUAAUACAUGCAAGUCGAGCGAACGGACGAGAAGCUUGCUUCUCUGAUGUUAGCGGCGGACGGGUGAGUAACACGUGGAUAACCUACCUAUAAGACUGGGAUAACUUCGGGAAACCGGAGCUAAUACCGGAUAAUAUUUUGAACCGCAUGGUUCAAAAGUGAAAGACGGUCUUGCUGUCACUUAUAGAUGGAUCCGCGCUGCAUUAGCUAGUUGGUAAGGUAACGGCUUACCAAGGCAACGAUGCAUAGCCGACCUGAGAGGGUGAUCGGCCAAACUGGAACUAGAACACGGUCCAGAAACCAACGGGAGGCAGAAGGAGGAAAUCUUCCGCAAUGGGCGAAAGCCUGACGGAGCAACGCGGCGGGAGUGAUGAAGGUCUGCGGAUCGUAAAACUCUGUUGUUGGGGAAGAACAUAUGAAUAAGUAACUGUGCACAUCUGCACGGUACCUAAUCAGAAAGCCACGCCAAACUACGU
rnacentral:rRNA from 1 species